rnacentral:misc_RNA from 1 species
AAAAGCGAGUCUCGCGACUCUCAAACCCUUUGUGAACUUAUUCAGUUGAGCUGCUUCGGCAGGUAUGUGAACGGGCGUUUCGAAAGAAGCACCGGGAACACGCCUGCCGGCCGGCUCGCCAACCAAACUCUUUGUUAAUAUAAGGACCUCUGAGUUAAAAACAAAAUUUAUUA